ensembl:lncRNA
CCUGGGUCAUGAGUUCCAAACCUAUGCUAAGCCUCAGAUUUUAAAUGUAAUAUGCCAAAACCUUUAUCAGCGCACAGAAAUGAAUCAAGGCCACAAGCUUUAAAAUACACUACCGUGAAAGAGUUCAUCAUACCAACCCAAGCACAUUCCAAAAGUAAAUAAAUGGGUGUCUCAAUGCUCCCAAGCAUUAAUAAAAGGGCUUGAAACAACAACAGAAAUAAAAAUCCCUCAUGACAUUCAAACAGGAUCCUCCCCAAAGAUUUAAAUAUGCCAUUACUGUCCUCUCAGUGCCACUAACAGCCUUACAAAAACAAUGUUAUGAAAUUUUAGCAUAAGAAGGUGACUGCAUAUCUUGUCAAGAGCUAAAAAUCAAACAGGGAAGCAGAGUUCUAAAUUUCUUUAUAAUUGCCUCAUUGAAUUAAUAAUACUAAUAACCAGGAGGAGAGGUCCAGCUUAAUUUUUCACAAACGUAGAUUAGAUGAUUUUCCUAAGGCCCCUAGCACAAGCCAAGAUCAAAAUUCCUCAUGGUUUCCCCUGGCUUAUGGUUUGAACACUGAGUCAUCCGUGCUUGAUCAAAACAUGGGUACCCUUGAGGUCGCACAAGUGAUAAAGUCAACUAAAAAAAGAGACCUCAGGAAAAAACCACUCAUUAUAUAACGUUUCUAAGAGCGAAACAUUUCUCUUCAACUGGAUUCCUAAGACAUUUUUGUACAUUAAAUUUAUUGACAACAACAUAACAGAUCAUAGAGGGAACACACAGACCACAAUACUUGGGUGGAAGGGGACGGCGUUUAACCUGAUACAAGUCUACGGAGUUACGGAAUCAAUUGACUGAAAUAUCAAAUUCUCUGCCAGAAGAAUUUCCAAACACCGGGGUUAUCUCAAAGAUAAAUGGGGUCGGCUCAAACUUCCAGGCUGAACCUCAAUUGCUGGCCCCUCGAGCUUAACAUGCAAGUAUUCAUUAUGGUCCUUUUGUCUGUGGAAUGACCCCACACACCAAGCCACAGCCAAGGGAAUAACAAGAAAUAUGCAAAGGUUGCAUGUGCAGCUUCACUAUGGCCACUGAAGAGAAAUACCUUAUAUAACUGCUUCUCAUCAACUGCCUCUUACCUAAUCAUUGGACAUUUGGAAAGCAAAGAGAUCUGGUUAGCUUUUCAGUUCAGUUCGGUCGCUCAGUUGUGUCUGACUCUUUGCGACCCCAUGAAUCGCAGCACGCCAGGCCUCCAUCGAGUCGGUGAUGCCAUCCAGCCAUCUCAUCCUCUGUUGUCCCCUUCUCCUCCUGCCCCCAAUCCCUCCCAGCAUCAGGGUCUUUUCCACUCUGUGCUCUGUGACAACAUAAAGGAGUGGGAUGGGGUCGGGGGGGAGGUUCAAAAGGAGGGGACAUAUGUAUACCUAUGGUUGAUUCACAUUCAUAUAUAGCAGAUGCCAACACAACAUUAUAAAGUAAUUAUCCUCCAAUUAAAAAUAAUUUUUUUAAAAAAUGAUGCACAUUUUUUUCACAUUUAAUGUCUUUGAAUUCAGGAUACAUCUGUCUUAGCCCUGUGUACUAGGCAAGGUAAGAGUCCCCCAAAUUCAUGUCCAUCCGGAAACUCAGAAUGUGACCUUGUUUGGAA